CGGGGCGUGGCGCAAUUUGGUAGCGCACCGGUAUGGGGUGCCGGCGGUUGUCGGUUCAAGUCCGGCCGCCCCGACCA
rnacentral:tRNA from 1 species